AUGCAAGAUAUCAAAAGAGAUGAAGCGCUUAGGAAGAUUCAUUGGACAAUAUUGCUACCCACGGCUUAUGCUACUGGAUAACAUUGCCAUCCACAGCUUGUGAAAAGUGUUUAGACAGAGACUGUACAAUAUUGUCUUUAGACAAGUCUUAACCAAGUCGAUUUUUAGUUUGUUGGAUGGUAAAAACGACCAAAAGCACCAAGAACCAAAAAUUGAGUCGGUGUUUGGCGUGUUGGAUGAUAAAAACGACCAAUGGCAAACCAAAUCCUAAGACAUAAACUACGAACAAAAAUUGAGUCGGUUCUUGACUUGUUGGAUGAUAAAAAUGACCAACAGGUCUUGAGUCAGAGACUAUGAACCGAAAAUUGAUUCCUCACUUCACCACUUUACCACUUACAUCGUAAAAAUUCACAAGGUAAGUAUGAGUCAUUUUGCGUGAACUAAAGUCUAAGUAAUUGUGAUUUCCUCAGGUUUUAUGUGCUUAUAAGGACUCAGAGAAGAUAUCAAGUGUAGCUGAUUGUUUGACAGGUAUGUGCUUUUCAAACUUGUUUGUUAUUUAGUUAAUACAAUUUUAUGAAAAUCACAUGAAGUGACACAUACAUGAAGUGAAGGCUAUAUUUUCGUUUGUGUAGGUAUGUGCUUUAUAAGGAUUUUCAGGUAUAUUCUUUUCUUUACUUUCUCUCUCUUAAAUUGGUAUUAUUACAUCUAUUAUAAUUUACAAACUACGUUAAGUGAUAUAUGUAAAGGUAAUGAAAUUAGAAAGGAAGAUCUUAGCUCCGUUUAUAACUAAAAAUGUUUUAUUAAGCUGUCUUGACAACAUUUCUCUCAUUUAUCUAGCAUCCUUAGGUUCUAGAAACUGAUUGCUUACAUAUCUGUUGAUGAACAAGUAGAUUCUUUUAACUAGUGGAACAGUAUAUUGUGCGUUUACAGGGUUUGGUAAUCUAUAUUAUCUUUAGUUUGGUGCUUGUAUGUAUUAUAAUGUCUCUUAUUUUGUGAUGGAGUCUUGUAGAUCAACAUAGGUGAGAGACUCUAGCAUGUUGUUGUAGUAGGCUUUCUUAGUUGGGUGUCUUUUUUUGCACAAACUUGAGAUGUCAAACUUGCCAAUGCAGGUACCCUAGAACAGAGGAAUGCAUGAAAAGAGACGUAUUUGACUGACCGGCAGGAGGAAGAGUGAGCAUCACUCACUACGUGUACAUACAAAUAAGACAUGUAAGGGACCAAAUUGCUCUGCCAGAGGUUAGAAAAAGCCACCAAAUUGUAAAAAAUUGCUUGAUAAAAACUUUAUGAGUACAAAGGCUAAAUAUGGUCAUAGAAGUGUAUUAUAUUUUGCAAACAGUGAUUUCUUGCAUUUUAACAGAAAUCUUUAUCUUUUGGUCGUUGCCUAAGUAAUAAUUGACGCUCACAUGUAUUCGUUGAAGUUGUGCAAGUUUUAAUAAAAAAUACAAUUAUAGUUGUACUAUUCUCUGUUAUACAUCUUUCGAUGACCCCAUUCAUAAAGCUGAAUCAUUUUGCUCUCACACAAAUCUUAUCUUCUCUCCUAAUAACUAAUACUCGUUUGGUAACAGCUUCACAAAUUUAUCUUUUUACUCAUCCUCGAAUGUUUUUUUUUUCUUUUCUGUAUCUCUGCAACGAUGGGUGGUUGCUUCUCCGUAUCGAUGUCAUGCGAUCAAGUUGUGAAUCAAGUCACUCAAUGGUUUUGUGUCAAAGAGAGCUAUAUUCAUAACCUCGAGGAGAAUCUCACUGCUUUGGAGACAGCUGUUGAAGAGCUGAAGGCAAUGCAAGAUAAUUUGUCAAGAAGGGUGGAGAGAGAGGAGGAUAAAGGUCUACGGAGGCUUUCCCAAGUUCAGUAAAGUACGCAGCAGUAAUGCGGGAUCGAAUCCACAGGGACCGAUGAUCACACGUAGAGUUGCAGACAAGUUAAUAGCUACAGCGAACGAAGAUAUAUUUUUGAUGGUUUUUAUUUAAUUUUCUUUAGUGUCACAAACAUAAACAAGCUGUAAAAAGAUGAUUUAAACGAUUUGAAAACUAUUUUAAAACAAACGUUGGGCAUUGGGAAUUCUCAGGGAUUUCUUUUUAAUCAAGAUACAAUUAAUGGCAGACACAGAGAUAUAUUAAGAACCGUCUAGAACUCAAACACGAUAUUAGAAUUAACCUACUUCCGUAGCGCUAAUUCUCUAUGUUAUAGAAAUCUCCACACUAACUUCCGCUGAGUUUCAAUUUCUAAACAAGCAUUAAGAACAGGUUCAAUAUGUUCACAAAGCGCAAUAACAUCAACUUCCGAGGGUUAAGGACACUUUGCUCAUCUAAAGUAUUUUCGGAAGUUCAAACAAUCACUUUCGGUGCAUCAAACAAUCUGAUAUCAUGAACUAAGUGAUCAAUUCAGUUCAAGCAGUAAGAAAUCCAUUAGAUGAAGAACCAAAACGUAAUCCCUUAGUCUACACACGUUUUAUGAAUCAAAACAUCAAGAAAUCCCCUAUUAGAACCCCUAAACCCAACUAGAUGACUACUCACACAUAACUAAACAAGAACAACACGAUUUUGAUGAAGAAAACAUGAUAAGAUUGUAUUAAAACAGAGUAAAGGUUCAGAAGAUCUUCUCCAAAUGGUUUUGAGAUGAACUCCUUUACAAAUCUUCACAAAUCACACAAAACAAGUACAAAACUCUCAAAUCUCUCUCAAGAACUUGUAAAUCUCCUUCUUGGUCGCCCCUGGUCUUUUCUGAGUCCCAAAGGUCGAGUUCUUCUGUUAAUUAUUGAGGGGAGUGGGUAAAAAGGAGUGAAAAGCUCGUUUGUGCGUGUGGAGCCCGUAGAGCGUGGGAUCGGUCGAUCCACAUGGACCGGAUCGGUCGAUCUAGUGCAUGUAAGCGUGGGAUCGGUCGAUCCACAUGGACCGGAUCGGUCGAUCUCACGUCCUGUGCGAUCAAUACUUCUCAUUCGGUCCAUUGUUCGGUCCAUCUUGCUUCUGAAUAAAUCUCGAAUGCGUUCUUUUCUUGCAAGCUAUCUAGUAACCUGCAUAUUACACUUAAGAACACCAAAACGCAUCAAAUAGACCAAAACAUUAAUUAAAACCGACCAUUUAAUUUCUCCAAAACGAGUUUAAAACCGCUAAAAACACGGAAUAUCAACUCCCCCAGACUUGAAUCUUUGCUUGUCCUCAAGUAAAGAGGAUUAAAAUUUGGGAGCUCACUAACCCUCAGUAGACCUUACCUUGUGAUUUCGCUAACCACUUAAAUCAGAGACUGUCAAGGCAUUCAUUCCAAAUCCCCACCAAGACCGCGCAAACCUUUCCAUAUUUCAGACCUGCAAGUCUCAGUUUCAAGUAAUCAACUCUUUACAUUCAUUAAAAAGGGCGUGACCUUUCCACCAAAGAUAUCUCCAUCAGGUAUAACGGGCUCGGUGUUUGGGAGGCUGUUUUAGUGUUUAAUUAGGUGAGGCUCAAGUGUUUGUGGGUAUCAGCGAUAACAAAAAAUGCAAAACAUUAUGCAAAAUCGCUGGAGAAACCAAGUAUAUUGAUAACCACGUUUUCGAACUGCUCAAGUCUCAAAUGAUCAAAACCCAACAAAUCUCAAACUCUAACCCCAAAUUUAAACAACGCAUCAUCUCUGGUACACAAAAUAAAAAUAAAAUGUCUAAAUCAAAUCUACUGAAUGAGAUAUAAACAUGAACUCUUUUUUUUUUUUUUUUUUUUUUUUUUUUUUUU